CAGGCAAAGCGCUUCUCUCCAGUGUGGGUGCGCAGGUGCCGCUGAAGUUCGUCGGAGCGAGUGAAUCGCUUGCCGCAGAAGAGCCAGUUGCAGACGAAGGGCCUCUCCCCGGUGUGCCAACGCAGAUGUGCCUUCAGGUUCCAGCUUCAUAUCUAAUCGCUCUUGAAAGAUCCCCAGGGGAGACUGAAAUCACAAUGGUGCCCCUUGUCAUGUAAGGUGCUGGGGAAUUGUCACAGACGAGUCUGGAAAUUACAAAGCCUUCUGUAUUUGUCGUCAAGAAGGAAAAUAAAUCGAAAUAUCAGUGAUCUAAAUGCGAGGAAUUGAGCAGCCCACAACAGAUUGUGCGAGACCAGAUAUCGAUGUAUAUUUGCCAGUGGAUGUAUGCUUUCCGGCACACAAACGGUUAAAUAAUAUUAAUGGAAACAAUUGAGAAAAAUCAUCAUAUUCUUUUUUUUUUCUUCUUUUUUUUUUAAAUAUUGAAUGAAAAGUUGUUUUGUUCUACAUAUUCAUACGUGUAUGAAUGACAUCCCUGGACAGAGGAUAUGUGCUUGCAGGCGCACAGAUGGUUAAAUAAUUGUAAUUCCUAGUUUAAAAAAAAAAGUAAAAAUAAUUAGCAUUUGUUAGUGCUGGCUAAUCAGUUGCCAUUGUUGGGGAUAAGUUAAUAUUGUAUCAGUUCUCUUGUCACUGGACAGCAGAUCAUUUGCAGAUAUUCGUCCAGUUUAUUUCCCAGUGGAAUAAAGGCGGCAAAUGUGUAUAAUAAAACAAAGUUCUUCUUUAAAAAUGAAAGAAACAUACAGAAUAUCUUGUUUCAGGCAACAGACAGAAGGAGCCUGGUGUUUGGGGUCCGUAAGGCAGAGUCACAUCAGGCAACAAUAAUAAGUAUCCUGCCAUUCAUCAGCAGCAGGGCACCUUAAGACACCAUAUUUUAUAAUUAUACAUUCAUUUACAUUUUAUAUAAUCGACUGGUUAUUAUCAAAUCAACUGAUGCUGAUAAAAUAACACCUUCAGGGAAGGGAGCCAGCCCCUGUACCUUCUCUGUAGGAAAAGGAGGGAGGGGGAUCUCUAAAUACAAUCGGAUGGGACUGUUUAUUCAGAUCUCUCAGGGACUGUUUAGAUGGAAAUUACCGAUUAUAUAUUAAAUAUGUUGUGGACCGGUGAUCAUUUCCCCCCUUCUACUGGUGUUAGUGGAAAUAGUCCCUAAACGAAA